GAAUAGAGGCGCGAUAACGAAGAGUAGCGCGGGCGAGGCUGCCGAAGCCGACGAACCCGUGCGAAAGGCGUUGUUGCCGAAGCUUCCGGCCGCGGCGGGUACGGUUGCUGGGCAGCAGGGAAAUACCUUGUUGACUGUCGCAAAUGCGGAGUGCUAU
rnacentral:ncRNA from 1 species